rnacentral:rRNA from 1 species
UCUGAUUAUUGGGUUUAAUGGGUGCGUAGCGUCUGUAGUUCAGCGUGAAUUUGCAGCUACCUGUAAAAGUGCCGUUGCAUACUGUGAGGCUAGAAUUUGGUUGCUGUGGGUGGAAUGUGUGCUGUAGCGAUGAAAUGCUUAGAGAUCACACAGAAUAUCGAUUGCGAAGGCAGCUCACAAAGGCCAAGAUGACGCUGAGGCACGAAAGUGUGGGGAUCAAACAGGAUUAGAUACCUGGUAGUCACACUGUAAACGAUGAUAACUCGCUGUCGGCGAUAUACAGUCGGUGACCAAGCGAAAGCGAUAAGUUAUCCACCUGGGGAGUACGACCGCAAGGUUGAAACUCAAAGGAAUUGACGGGGGCCCGCACAAGCGGAGGAACAUGUGGUUUAAUUCGAUGAUACGCGAGGAACCUUACCCGGGCUCGAACGGUGCAGGAAUAUGGUAGAGAUAUCAUAGCUAGCAAUAGUCUGUAUCGAGGUGCUGCAUGGUUGUCGUCAGCUCGUGCCGUGAGGUGUCGGCUUAAGUGCCAUAACGAGCGCAACCCUUGUCAUUAGUUACCAUCAGGUCAAGCUGGGGACUCUAAUGAGACUGCCACCGUGAGGUGAGAGGAAGGGGGGGAUGACGUCAAAUCAGCACGGCCCUUAUGUCCGGGGCGACACACGUGUUACAAUGGGGGGUACAGAGGGCAGCCAUCCGGCGACGGAGCGCCAAUCUCAAAAACCCUUCUCAGUUCGGAUUGGAGUCUGCAACCCGACUCCAUGAAGUUGGAUUCGCUAGUAAUCGCGCAUCAG